GCGAAGAUGAAACAUUAGACCAUGGUAUUGAUGACGGAAAGGACACUUCCGGUGGCAGAGAACUGGAACAGGAAGUGGGAGAAGCAAUAAUCAAAAAUCAAAAAGGAAGGAUUAAGGAAGAAAAUAAAUGUAAUAAAAGUUAAGCGGCAACAGGGUGAUAGUUGAGUUUUAUACUCAGUUGAAGAUAAUCCACCGUGGCAUUUAUGUAUUCUACUUGGAUUUCAGCACUACGUGACAGCUGUCGGGGACAUUAUUUCAGUUCCAUUGAUGCUUGCCGAAUAUUUCUGUAUGGACAAAGACGUUGUCGGUAUUAGUGAACUUAUUGGGACCAUCGUGUUUGUCUCUGGUCUGGCUACCUUGCUUCAGAGCACUUUGGGUGUUAGACUACCAAUAGUUCAAGGAGGGACUGUUACUUUCGUUAUACCAACUAUAGCAAUUCUUCUUCAACCGCAAGGGAGUGUGAGUACGUAACAGCUAGGAACCAGUAUGGACCAAAUCUAAAUUUAACUCAACUUGGGUUGCUGGAAAUAGGAAGUGAAAAACACCGUGAAAUGUGGAUGUUGCGGAUACGUGAAAUACAAGGAGCUAUAAUUGUGGCCUCGCUGUUCCAAGUGCUAACAGGAAUAAGUGGUAUACUAACGUACAUGUUGAAGUAUA